UUCUUUUGCAAGUGACCAUGGUAUAAGCGGGAUAAUGCCCUCCUCGUCGGGCAUUUUCCCUUGUUUGGUGGUUGAAGCACAUGUUGGCUCUUCAUAGUUAAAUCUGUGAUGCUCCAACAAUAGCAACACUGCUGAUUCAUCAUCAGACUAGCUGUCUCAAUAUCUGAGGAGUGACCCGGCGGAAAAGGUGUGAAAAGUUCCUGGCACCUGGCCCGCUGAUUGGUCCGAUCUGGUGUCUAUUGCGCCCUGUUGCUAUGACGACCAGUACCACUAAGCGAGGAGAGGACGACAUGGCGUCAAAACGAAAGUAUUCAUCUAGUUCAGAAAAAAGAAGAAACUAGAUGAAGAAAAACGCUCACAGGAUGAAGGAGAUAUUCUGAAAUAUGUUGGAUCCGCAGACCAGGAAGCAGCACGGCCGCCUUCAGCACCACCGGACCAGGAAGUUUAAACCAUGUGUUGAAGAGGAGGACAGGAAGUAAGAAGAGGGACGAGAGCGUCGAGAGCGUUAACAUGAGUUAACAUCCCCCAACUGCCCCCCUUCUCUGAAUGCCUCCCCUCCCCCACCCAGCCCGCCCACAGACAUAAGAGCUGCUUGCAUAAAAUUCCCAGCAUGCCUUGCAAGCCCUCAGCAUGCGGAUAACACUCAUAAUGCUUCAGAACCGGGUCAGAUUGUGUCCCUUAUGAGUUGUUGAAGCUGCAGCAGACCCAGUACAGCCUCCCUGAGCUCUGAGGCUGUUCUGAAGCCACUCAGAGGCAGUUUGCUCACAUACAG
rnacentral:lncRNA from 1 species